AAAUGGCGUGCUUAACACAUGCAAGUCGAGCGGAGAAAUGGGAGCUUGCUCCCAUUUCUCAGCGGCGGACGGGUGAGUAACACGUGGGCAACCUGCCCUACAGACUGGGAUAACUCCGGGAAACCGGAGCUAAUACCGGGUAAUACAUAGCAUCGCAUGAUGCAACGUUGAAAGUUGGCCUUUGGCUAACACUGUAGGAUGGGCCCGCGGCGCAUUAGCUAGUUGGUAAGGUAACGGCUUACCAAGGCCACGAUGCGUAGCCGACCUGAGAGGGUGAUCGGCCACACUGGGACUGAGACACGGCCCAGACUCCUACGGGAGGCAGCAGUAGGGAAUCUUCCGCAAUGGACGAAAGUCUGACGGAGCAACGCCGCGUGAGUGACGAAGGCCUUCGGGUCGUAAAGCUCUGUUGUUAGGGAAGAACAAGUACCGUCGAAUAGGGCGGUACUUGACGGACCACCCAG
rnacentral:rRNA from 1 species